rnacentral:rRNA from 1 species
CACGACUCUCGACAACGGAUAUCUUGGCUCUUGCAUCGAUGAAGAACGUAGCAAAAUGCGAUACUUGGUGUGAAUUGCAGAAUCCCGUGAACCAUCGAGUCUUUGAACGCAAGUUGCGCCCGAGACCUUUAGGUUGAGGGCACACCUGCUUGGGCGUCAUGC